rnacentral:rRNA from 1 species
AUGGCGUUACGCCUCUCCGUCUCCUCGCCGCAGAGCACGGCCUCCUCGCCGGCCAUCUCCUCAUGCCGCCCCGCCGCCUGCGGCCGCUUCCUGGCCUGCGUGGCCGCUUCUCAGAAGAGGAGCCUGAUGGUGGUGUCCGGCUCUGACGGGAGGGGAGUGGCUCCGGUGAAGUCGGGCGGCUUGGAGACGGCCACGACGGGAGCCGACGAGGUGGAAGCGCCCACAGCGGCGGUGGCGGUGACCGGGCAGGUCACGGAGGUCUGCAAGGACACCUUCUGGCCAAUUGUCAAGGCAGCAGGGGAGAAGCCCGUCGUCCUCGACAUGUACACCCAAUGGUGCGGCCCUUGCAAAGUUAUGGCACCAAAAUUCCAGGAGAUGUCUGAGAAGGACCACGACGUCGUAUUCCUCAAGCUCGAUUGCAAUCAAGACAACAGGCCUCUUGCAAAGGAGCUUGGCAUAAGGGUUGUACCAACAUUCAAGAUUUUCAAGGAUGGGAAGGUUGCAAAGGAGGUCACUGGUGCGAAGAUUGAUGAAUUAGCACGUGCGAUUGAGGAAGUGAAGUCAAGCUGA